rnacentral:lncRNA from 1 species
AAUGGCGAUUUAUGGCAAAGGACUAAUAUCCAUUUCUUUUAUAUAUAAACAACAUAAAAAUGGACAAAGGACACAAAAAGGCAUCUUAAAAGGCUAGAAGAAUGUACAUCCACAGUCAUUUUUGAGGAUUUGAGACCUAGAAGUAUAUCUUAUAACCUUAUCACCUUAAUUUUUUUUACAACUAUAUGCUUAAUAUUUAUAUUCAGAAAAAGAGGAUAAAACUUAAAGGCAAAUGCAAGUUAUACUUGGGCAAUUCACAGUCACAUAACUGGUUAAUAUAGGACAGAUGGAAAUAUUAGGAAAGAUGAAAGAAGGAACACAGCUCUAACACUGCACUGAU